UUUGCAUCGUCUGAUUAAAAAUGGCGGUUUACAAACAGACCAUGAAGGGUUAGGGUUAAGUUUACUAUGAAGACAAACGAACUAGACUUUAACAAUCCAUUCACUACAGGCAACUAGUUGGACUAACUAGUUCUCCAGGGUGGUUAGUUAUGUCAGGUGCUAUGGUUUUGUAAGACUGAAGAAAAGGUUGAGUGCAACGGAACGUGUCUAUCACCUGGAUUAUUACCACUUCCCCUUUAUCAAACAUGAGAUCGGCGUCAGCCAAAACCUUUACUUGCAGGAGGGGACCAGGGACCAAAUGAUCUGCCACACGUCACCACGUCAUGAGGGGGACAAAAGGACAAACGGACUGAAGAGUGAAGAAAAGUGCAAACACCCAGAGCACUUCACUGCCUGCUUAUGAGACAAAGUGCCAAGCGUGCAUGUCAUUGUUAUGUGCCAGAAAAAGAGAAACAAGGGAUGGGGAGAACAGGAAGCAGAACAACCGAGAAGAAAACAACUCUCUGUGUUGGAUGAGACUUCAGAGCUAUUCACCUGCUGGAGCGGCAACAGACAGAAAUCAUGAAGACGUUCUGAAUAAUUCACACACUGGCCGAUUGUUUAGUGUUUAUUAAUUCCCUUUUUACUCUUUGUUUGUGAGCAGACUUCAAAGCUCGGUUAGUUUGAGCAGAAACAUUGAAAAACUGAUACACUUGCACGAAUACUCUCACUUAGAUGAAUUAACCGCGAUCUCGGCCGAGUGCAAUUAUGCCGUCUGUUCUCUUUCUGUUGGCCUUGAGCCACAGCACAUGCAUUAACCAGUCACUGUGCCGCUCAACAUUACUAUCAUGUUUUUACAAAGUCUCAGGCUGCAGGUAGAAAUCAAUCAAGUCGCCCGCAGAUAGUCAGGCCACAGGGGGAUGAUUGAUGGACGUGGAAGUGAAUUGUGUGUUUCUCUGUAUUAUCAGUGAGAUGAACCGGCUACCUGUCCAGGUGGUCGUCCUGCGUACCGGAACACGCUGCCACCUUUUGACAGCUGGAACUAGAAUAAGCAGAUCAAAGAUUACAGCAAAUGUUUUUAGCUGUAUUUUCAGGCGAGAUCUGAUCAAAUUUCAUAAUCAAACCCUUUUCUCAUCUCUCUGACCAAUAUAAAGCUGAUGUGAAAGUCAAAAGAGACAUGAUGCUUUUUCAUGUUUCCUUUAGUGUUUUUUUUUACUUUUGCUAAGGAGGUUAUAUUUUUGGGUUAUA